GACGAACGCUGGCGGCGUGCUUAACACAUGCAAGUCGAACGGAAAGGCCCUGCUUUUGUGGGGUGCUCGAGUGGCGAACGGGUGAGUAACACGUGAGUAACCUGCCCUUGACUUUGGGAUAACUUCAGGAAACUGGGGCUAAUACCGGAUAGGAGCUCCUGCUGCAUGGUGGGGGUUGGAAAGUUUCGGCGGUUGGGGAUGGACUCGCGGCUUAUCAGCUUGUUGGUGGGGUAGUGGCUUACCAAGGCUUUGACGGGUAGCCGGCCUGAGAGGGUGACCGGCAAAAUGGGGCUGGAGAUCCGGCCAAGACUCCUCCGGGAGGAAGAAGGGGGGAAUAUUGCAAAAUGGGCGGAAGCCUGAUGAAGAAACGCCGCGUGCGGGAUGACGGCCUUCGGGUGGUAAACCGCUUUCGCCUGUGACGAAGCGUGAGUGACGGAAAUGGGGAAAGAAGCACCGGUAAAUUACGU
rnacentral:rRNA from 1 species